rnacentral:lncRNA from 1 species
UAUCAUCCAAUGCAAAGAAGGUAUAGGUCUCAGUCCCGGGCCUUGUGUGUGCUCUAGCCAAGUGCCAGCUUAAGCGGGUGAAAUGUGUAGUCCCAUAAGUCCUCCCGAGUGCUGGGGCCCUCCUUCUCCAGCUGAGCUCGUAAUGCCACAGCAGGUUCCACGGUUACAUUCAAAAGCCUCAGCAGGGAAGGCUGGCCCAGAUCUGAGGGGAAAGCGUGGGGUGAACACAGAACAUAAACCCAGCCGAGGCAGCUGCCACUUCAGAGAGCCAAAAUAGGGUGGGCUCAGUUAACAAAACAAAUCGCACACUUCAGAAUGUGUUAGCAUUGUCAGGCAGGAUAUCCGGGAAUUUUAGUAGUUUCGUACUUAAUAGUCAUUAGGUGGCUUUGGCUGAACCUCCCCAUCUAUGAAGUUUCCCUGGCGUCAGCUGCCGUCUUUGCAUCUCCCUCUGGCAGGAUUUGGGAGUGAGCUUUGUGGAGGUGAGAGGAAAAAGGAUGGAUCCCAGGAGGCUGUCCUUCCCGGGUUCCUGGGUAGAGGGCUCAGCCUUAGUGAGGCAGAGACUGCUCAUGGAGUCCAGGUUGCCUUCCUCUCCAGCAGAGUUGAUGGAAAGAGCUUGGAUGUGUGGAAGGAAGCUGUUAUACAAGUUCAAGGUAAUGUCACUCGCCAGAGCAGGACCUUCGCUUUUUACCUGAGCUUACCUCACAGGCUCGCAUCUUCCCCUCAGCUCUCCUCCCCUCCUCCUUUCUCUCCUGGUUUGCUUUUGGUCAGAAGUGAUUCUUCACGUUUGGGAUCAGUGGGGUGCUGCCUAAGCUGGAUGUCCAUUCCUACCAUGCGUAAGUCAUGGCUCAGUGGGAACCACUUAGGGCUCGCAUUUAGUCUAGUCACUAAUAGAAGAGCCAGUCUGCCCUAUGUUUUAGAAAAAUCCAGAUUUGAGAAACACUGGUGGUAGCUCAGCUCAGUUCAGGUAGGGGAACCACAGUGCCCAGAGCUGCACACAUCGUGUCCACACUGUGAGCCUCCUGGAGGGGGACAGAACCCUACUCACCUGUGUGUGUCUUAGGGUAGGUGCUCGAAAUGUUUGCUGAGAAAAAAAACUAUAAAAGGAAGGGAAUACUCAGGCCAGAGCCUCCUCAGGGGAAACUCAGUGGGGCCAAAUAAAAGUCUUUUGUUUCACUUUAUCUUAGGAAUUGCUGAUUUGAAGGCCUCAUAGGUCGUCACUGCCUCCCCCAGCUAUAGUUACCAUUUGACAGCACCCCAGUUGGUUGGGGAGAUGCCUGGGACAGCUGGCGGCCUGAGGCGGAGACAGGAGCUGGAGAGGCAGGUCACCCUGGGAUUUGGGUGGGACAGCUCAUUGAGGAGGCUGUGAGGGGGCUGCCGCUUCCCCAUCCUCCUGCGCCCAGGCGGUGAUGGCAAGGACGAGGGCGCUGGUGUCGGGGUAGCCCAAGCUGGUGCGAGAAUUUAAGGCAGCAAGCAUACCCCCUGCUUGCUGAGCUUGAGAAACAGCCUGCAUACAGUGACAGUUCACGAACGGUUACUGCUGUGUCCCCCUGAAAACAGCAGCGCUUUCCUUCCGCCCUUUCAAUGACAGGCUGUAGCUUGCCGUCUGCGGUGAGAGGCAGAGUUUCUCACGCCAUGUUGAAAUCUUUCUGUGUUGCUCCAGGGGUGGGCUGCUAUUGAGUGGAUAAUUGAGCAUUCUGAAAGCGCUGUGAGCUAACGGGGUCCGCGCCUGCGCCUGGUGACAAACGGCGGUAACUACAGUGCUCUUUACCCUGGGGGAGCGUUUAGCUCCUGCUCCCUGUGUGCAUGGUGUGCGGUGCUGGGAGGGGGUUUACAAGAGGCAGCUGCUUGUGUCUCCAGCCCUGUGCUCCUUAGUAUCUUAGUAGUGGAAUAAAAUCACUAGGUUCACCUUCUUCCUAAUUCAUUUCCCUGUUUCAUGGCAGGAUUUAUUGUCAAGGGAAACUCGAACAUUUGUCAGCGCGUCUCCAAUGAAGGCGGUUCGGCUUCCGCCAGCUGUUCUCAGUGCUUGGUCCCUGAACACGUCCUCUAACCUGUGCGUCAUUCGUGAGGAGCCUUUCACUAGGAGGUCCGCACAGUGUUAAAGCUGAUCUGACGGGAGGCCUUUUUCAUUUUGGAUACAUCGCCCCCCAAAAAAAUGAAAGAGGAAAGAAAAAAAGAGAAGGAAAGAAAAAUGAAUGAAAGGAAGGAAGGAAGAAAGAAGUGAGUCCUGAAUAUGGUUCACUGGCCCAGUCUGGAAGAGGUGUGGAAUCUGCUGGAAUCUUCCGCCUGCCACUCACGGCCUCCGCCAGGCUCCUCCGUCGUGACCUCACGGCACAGGAGGCCCGGCCAUGGUGCAGGCGGAGUGCUCGUCCGUUGCAGAGAGAGACUCGGUGGUAGGGCAAGGGCUGCAACGCCCUGCCUGUCCCCCCGCCGCUGAGCCAGCAGGUGGGGAGCCGGCCCCACCCGCAGCCCAGCACCCCCACCCCGUGCCGGUGUGUCCUCGUGCUGCUCUUGUGCCUGGUCUGUUUUCCCCCAGCUGCAGCUCCCACAUCUGUCCUGCCAACUCUUGGGAUCUUACUAAACAGCUUCUCUCUUUUCAGAUCCGUUUCCGUUCCGUGCCCCUUAAUCAGCAGUCUUCACUGCCAGUCUCUUCACACAUAGCUGGCCACCAUCUGUCACCUCAGGUGCUGUCUCUGUGCAUCCUUCUCUUCCCCUCAAUCACUGUGUGCAGAUCUGCGCACUAGAGUAGGGGCGUCUGCCAGCCACAGUGACGCGUGCGGUUGGAGUACCGUGAGCUCUCCGCUCAGAGACAGUCAGCUCCGUCCAGAGCAAAGUGUUCCGCCCUCGGGCCACAGCCCCCUUGUCCUGCCCACCUGGGCCCAGUGACCCCCAGGGCUGAAGGCCCGUGUUACUUCUCACCAUUCAGCCCUGGCCACAGGAAGGCUCGCUCACCCAGAGCCGUGUUAGGAGGCAGUGCACGAGUGCUUGUGAGUUUAAGCCGUCUCUUAGCUCUGAGGUACUUCCGCUUGGGAGUUUUAACUUUCCCAUUUUCAAAAGUAAAAUGUAAAAUCUCUUUCAGUAUGUUUCAAAUUAUAAAAACUUGAGCGAAGGCCUCUUCUGUAACGGAUGGGUAGAACUGUAUUCUGUUUGUUAGCUCUUGCUUUUUCUUUGAUAAUAGUGCUUCUAAUCCAAAAUGAAAUUAAAUUCAUUUAUAUAUUUACAGAAUGUGUUAUGCACAUAGCUUAAGGUAAAAUACAGUUAAAAGGUUUAUGGCAAAAAAAAUCCCUCUUAUCCGUUCUGCAAAGCCCGCUUCCACCCUUCCCACGGGACUCACAUCUUUUGGCUAUUUCUGGCAUUUACUGCUAGAUUUCUAAAUAAAUAAGCAUAUUCUGCUAUUUCUUCAUUCAACAAUUUUUGAUGUCAUCUGCUGACUUCCUCUUGUGGUAGAUUAUUAUUUUCUCUCUCUUACUUCUUCUUCCCAUCCCCCAAUUCCCCAGUAUAGCUAUAUUGUAAUUUAUGGUUAAAAGCACAUGGAGUUUCCAUAAUUUUGAAAAUACAUAACUAUUGUUUAUUACCCAGCCAAGCAAUAUACUGUAAUUACAUUUUCUUUCUCAUAUAACUGUUUUUUUUUCCUUUGAAGGUAAUAAUUGUCUUACUCUUUUCAUCCAUUUACUUUUAUUUUUUAGGAGUCUCUGGCUGAGUCCUUCCACACUCGUCACCCAUUCUCUGCAGUAACAUCAUUGUCCAAGGUCAGACCUUUUGGGAAGCACACCCCUUUCGGGUUUCCCUGGCACCGCCCUUCCUGGAAGCCAGGACUGGCUCUCCUCUGGCUGAGCAGCUGUGUCAUCUUUCCUGGGCAUUUCCUUGGCCCUUCUCCUCUCCUGGAGCCCUUGUCUCCUAGAUUCCCUGCUUCCUCUCUCUGUCCUAUCACAAGAUGGGAAAGCACAUAUGUAGUAGCUUCUAAGACUUGGCACAUCUGAAAAUGUCUCUUCUCUUCUCCUGCUUCAUUUAUAUCUUGGCUGGAUGUAUAAUUCCAGAUAAAAAUACUUUCACUCAGAAUUUUGAAGGCAUUGCUCCAUUGUUUUCCACUCCAAUUCUUGAUCCUCUGUAUGUGACUUUUUUCUCUCUGAAAGCUUUUAGGAUCUCUUUAUCCCUGAUUUUUGUUUUUUAAAGAUUUUAUUUUUCCCUUUUCUCCCCAAAGCUCCCCCCCAGUACAUAGUUGUAUAUUUUUAGUUGUGGGUCCUUCUAGUUGUGGCAUGUGGGAUGCCGCCUCAGUAUGUCUUAAUGAAUGUUGCCAUGUCCGCGCCCAGGAUCCGAACUGGUGAAACCCUGGGCUGCUGAAGUGGAGCAUGUGAACUUAACCACUCAGCCAUGGGGCCCUAUCCCUGAUGUUUUGAAAUUUUAUAUGACUAAGCCUUGUUUGAAGUUAUCUUUUAAAAUUCACUGUGCUGCAUUAUGUGUGUUAAAUUCCUGGUUUUGAUAUUGUACUAUAAUUAUGUAAGAUGUUACUGAGGGGAUGUGGGUGAAAGGUACACAGGACAUUCCUGUGCUAUCUUUGUAGCUUCCUGUGAAUCUAUAAUAAUUUCAAAAUUAAAAGUUAAAAAAAUAUAUAAAUAGUGACAUCAUGGAAAAUGGCAGAGGUGGACAUUCCAAGAAUCAGCCCCUCCAAUGAAACAGUCGAUAAGCUAGCAAGAAAUGACAAACUCAACUUUUGUAGAACUCUGGAUUUUAAUCAGAUACUUAAACCAACUAGGGGAGUGCCUAAUGAAUCUUAAGUGACCUACCCUGCAGAUUUUGGACUUCCCAGCCUCCAUAAUCAUGUAGGCCAAUUCCUUAAAAUAAAUCUCUCUCUCUCUCUUUUUCCAAACAGACAUUCUAUUGGUUCUGUUUCUCUGGAGAACCUUGACUAAUACACUAUUGAAGCUAAAUUCGUGUCAAUUCAAACUAGAUUUUUUUAACUUAAGAUGUUAAUUAUAAUCACCAGGGUAACCAGUAAGAAAAUAACUAAAAAAUUAUACAGAAAAAGAAACAAAGGGGAAAUCAAAAUGGUAUACUAGAAAAAAAGAAAAUCAGUCAAACACAACAGAAGGCAGUGUGGAAAGAAUUCAAGAACAAAAAGUCAUAAAAUUUAUAGAAAACAAAUAGCAAAAUGUAAGAAGCUAGUGCUUCCUUAGCAAUAAUUACUUUAAAGGUAAAUAGGUAAAAUUCAUCAAUUAAAGGACAGAGAUUGGCAGAGUGGAUGAAAAAACAUGAUACUACUAUAUAUGUUGCCUAGAAAAGACUCACUUUAUUUUUAUUUUUUUUUUUUAAAGAUUUUAUUUUUUCCUUUUUCUCCCCAAAGCCCCCCCGGUACAUAGUUGUAUAUUCUUUGUUGUGGGUCCUUCUAGUUGUGGUAUGUGGGACGCUGCCUCAGCAUGGUUUGAUGAGUGGUGCCAUGUCCGCGCCCAGGAUUCGAACCAACGAAACACUGGGCCGCCUGCAGCGGAGCGCGUGAACUUAACCACUCGGCCACGGGGCCAGCCCCAGAAAAGACUCACUUUAGAUCCAAAGACACAAAUAGGUUGAAUGUGAAAGGAUGGAAAAAGAUAUUCCGUGCAAAAGAGAGCUGGGGUGGGCAUACUUAUAUCAGAAAAAAAUAGACUUUAAGUAAAAAAUUAUUAUAAGAGACAAAAAAGGACAUUAUAUAUUGACAAGAGGGUCCAUUCAUCAAGAAGAUAAAAGUUACAACCAUAUACAUACCAAACUACAGAACCUGAAAAUAUAUGAAGCAAACAUUAGCAGAACUGAAGGGAAAAAUAACAAUUCUAUAAUAAUAGUUGGAGACUUCAAGAAUUCACAUUCAAUAAUGGAUAGGACAUCUAGACAGAGAUCAGUAAGAAAAUGAGGACUUGAACAACACUGUAAACUAACUUGACCUAACAGACAUAUAGAAAACACUUCCUCCAGAAAGAGCAGAAUACACAUUUUUAUCCAGAGCACAUGGAAUAUUCUUCAGGAUAGACCAUAUGUUAGGCCAAAAAACAAGUCUCAAUAAACUUAAGAAGAUUGAAAGCAUAUAAAGUAUCAUUGGUGAUUACAGUGAAAUGAAAUUAGAAAUCAGUAGCAUAAGGAAAACUGGAAGUUUCACAAAUAUGUGGCAUUUAAAAAACAUACUUCUAAUAACCAGUGAGUCAAAGAAGAAAUUACAAGUGAAGUUAUAUUUUGAGAUGAAUGAAAGUGAAAACACAACAUAUGAAAAACUUAUGAGAUGCAAUGAGGGCAGUGCUCAGAAGGAAAUUCAUAGUUACAAAGACCUUCAUUAAAAAAAGAAGAAAGGGGGCCAGCUUGGUGGUGCAGCUAUUAAGUUCACACAUUCUGCUUCAAUGGCCUGGGGUUCGCUGGUUUGGAUCCCAGGUGCGGACAUGGCACUGCUUGGCAAGCCAUGCUGUGGCAGGCGUCCCACUUACAAAGUAGAGGAAGAUGGGUAUGGAUGUUAGCUCAGGGCCAGUCUUCCUCAGCAAAAAGAGGAGGAUUGGCCACAGAUGUUAGCUCAGGGCGAAUCUUCCUCAAAAAUUAAUUAAAUUUUUUAAAAAGAGAAAGAUCUCAGAUCGUUUACCUGAUUUAAGGACUAGAAAAAAAAAAGAACAAAGUAAACCCAUAGCUUGCAGGAGGAAAGAGAUGAUCAAGAUUAGAGAGCAGACAAUAUAGAGAAUAGAAAGGCAAUAGAAUUCUUGAAGCUAGAAGUUGUUUCACUGAAAAGAUCAUUGAAAUUGGAAAACCUUUUAGUAAGACCAAGAAAAAGGAUUCAAAAUAAAAAAAUCAGAAAUAAAAGUGGAGGCAUUACUACAGACAUUAUAGAAAUAAAAGGAUAUAAGAGAAUACUAGGAAUAAUUAUAUACCAACAAAUUAGAUAACCUAGGUGAGAUGGACAAAUUCCUAGAAACACAAAUUACCAAAACUGAUUAAAGAGGAAAUAGAAAAUCUCAACAGACCUAUAACAGGUAAAGAGAUUGAAUCAGUAAUUUAAGACCUCCCAACAAAGAAAGGUCUAAAUAUUAAAGAAGAAUUAACACCAAUCCUUUGUAAAUUCUUCCCAAAAAUAGAGGAGGGAAUACUUCCUAACUCAUUCUGUAAGACCUAUAUUACCCUGAGACCAAAGCUAGGCAAAGGCACUCCCAGAAAAUAACACUUCAGACCAAUAUCCUUUAUGAAUACUGAUGCAGAAAUCCUCAACAAAAUACUAGCAAGCUGAAUCCAACAGCAUAUUAAAAGGAUAUACACCAUGACCAAGUGGGAUUUAUCCCAGGAAUGCAAGGGUGGUUCAACAUACAAAAAUCAAUCACUGUAAUAUACCUUAGUAAUAGAACUAAGGGGAAAACCUCCACAUGAUCAUCUCAAUUGAUGCAGAAAAAGCAUUUGACAAAACUUAACACCCUUUCAUGAUGAAAACACUAUUCUAGGAAUAGAAAUAGUAAUUCUAGAAAUAUUCUAGGAAUAGGAAUAGAAGGGAACGUCCUCCACAUAGUAAAGGGCAUUUAUGAAAAACUCACAGCUAACAUCCUGCUCAGACAGACAUCUUUCACUCCAAGAUAAAGAAUAAGAGAAAGAUGCUCAUUUUCACCACUGCUCUUCAACACAGUACUGGAAGUUCUAGCCAGAGCAAUUAGAUAAGAAAAAGAAAUAUUAGGCAUCCAAACUGGAAAGGAAGAAGUAAUAGAAGUAUCUCUAUUCACAGACAACAUGAUCCGGUAUGUAGAAAAUCCCAAAGAAUCCACAAGAAAGCUACUAAAGGAAUUCAGCAAAAUUGCAGUGUACAAGAUCAAUACAAAAAAAAUCAAUGUAUUUCUUUACAAUAGCCAUGAGCAAAUUAAAAAUAAAAUUAAGAAACCUACCCAAUUUACAACUGCAUCCAAAAGAAUAAAAUACAUAGAAAUAAGUUAAAGCAAGAAGGUGAAGGACUUGUACACUAAAGAUUGCAAAACAUUGAAAGAAAUUAAAGAAGACAAAUAAAUGGAAAGACAUCCAUUGUUCAUGGAUUGAAAGACUUAAUAUUGUUAAGAUGACAAUACUAUCCAAAAUGUUCUAUGGAUCAAUCUAAUCCCUAUCAAAAUGGCUACAGCUUUUUUUUCAGAAAUGGAAAGCCAAUCCUCACAUUCAUAUGGAAUUGUAAGGGACCCUGAAUAACCAAAACAGUAUUGAAAUAGAACAACAAAGUUGGAGGGCUCACAUUUCCCAAUUUCUUGCAAAGCUAUAGUAAUCAAAACAAUUUGGGACAGGCAUAAAGAUAGAUAUAUAGACCAAUGGAAUAGAAUUGAGAGUCCAGAAAUAAACCUGUGUAUCUAUGGUCAAUUGAUAUUCAACAAGGGUGCCAAAAGAAUUUAAUGGGAGAAAGAAUAGUGUCUUCAACAAAUGGUGCUGGGACAACUGAAUAUCUACAUAUAAGAGAAUGAAGUUCGACUAUUAACUUACAUACAAAAACUAACUCAAAAUGGAUCAAAGACCUAAAUAUAAGAGCAAAACCCAUAAAAUUCUUAGAAGAAAACAUAGGGGUAAAUAUUCAUGACCUUGGAUUUGGCAACGGGUUCUUAGAUAUGACAACAAAAGCAUGAGCAACAGAAGACAAAAUAGAUAAAUUCGACUUCAUCAAAAUAAAAGCUUUUUUGCAUCAAAGGACACUAUCAAGAGAGUGAAAAGACAACCUAGAGAAUGGGAGAAAAAUUGCAAAUUGUAUAUCUGAUAAGGGUCUCUUAGCCAGAAUAUAUAUAGAACUCUUACAACUCAACAAUAAAAAGAGAACCCAAUUUAAAAAUGGGCAAAGGAUCUGAAUAGACAUUUCUCCAAAGAAGAUAUGGAAAAUAACAAGCACUGGAAAAGAUGUGGAGAAAUUGAAACCUUUGUUCGUGCUGGUGGUAAUGUAAAAUGGUAUAGUCACUCCACUCCUAGUUAUAUACCCCAAAGUAUUGAAAACAAGUACUCAAAUACUUGUACACGAAUGUUCAUAGCAGCACUAUUUACAGUAGCCAAAAGGUGGAAAUAACUCAAAUGUCCUUCAACUGAAUGGAGAAACAAAUGUGGUAUAUCCAUACACUGGGAUAUUAUUCAGCCAUAAAAAGGAAUGAAAUACUGAUACAUACUACAACGUGGAUGAAUCUCUAAAACAUUAUGCUAAGUUUGAAUAAUGAAAGAAGCCAGACACCAAAGGCCACAUACUGUAUGAUUCCGUUUAUAUGUAAUAUCUAUAAUGGGUAAAUCCAUACAAAUGGAAAGCAGCUUGGUUGUUGCCAAGGGCUGGGGGGAGGGGCAAAUGGGGGAAAUCUACUGAAUGGGUAUGGGAUUUCCUUUGGGGGUGAUGAAAAUGUUUUGGAACUAGAUAGAGGUGGUGUUUGCACAACAGUGUGAAUGUACUGAAUACCACUGAAUUGUAUACUUUAGAAUGGUUAACUUAUGUGAAUUUCACCUCAGUAAAAAAGAAAAAAAUAUGAAUAAAUACAUGCGUGUAUACAUACAUAAAGCUGAGGUCAGGCAGCAAGGCAUCGAAAAAAAUCGCUUUGGGAACGUGGUGGUGCCUUUGGUUCCGGUAGUGAUUUCUUUGAUAAUUUCCCCAUCAUUCUCUCUUCUCUUUUUCUGGAAGUCCUCUUAGUCAUAUGUUGAGCUUCCUGGAUUGAUCUUGUAAUUUUCUUAUAUUUUCUCUCCUCUUUGUUCUCCCUUAUGGGAGAUUUCCUGGACUUUAUCUUCCACCCCUUUCACUAAUUUUUAUUUUGGCAAACUGUAUUUUUAAUUUCUGUCUUUCCUGUUCAUUAUCACAUCUCGUUCUUGCUUCACAGAUGUAGUGUCGUAGCUCCUCUCUCUGCAGAAAUAAGUGCGAAGUGAAGCUUUCUUGUGUGUCAGCGUCUCCUCCACGUCCCUUCCCAUCGCAGGCUUUCCUCAGAUGUCUCUUCAUACUGACAUGCCCCAAACCCCGCGAGAGCUCCGGGUGGAGCGCGAGGCUUGCUGGGGCUGGGCUUCACUGUCGGGUGUGCUGUGACUUCUUCCUUGAACCCCAAAGACCUUGUCUCUAGAUUGGUUCAGUUUCUCCCAAUAAGACUCAGCCUUUUGGAGGAGGCGGGGGUGUGUCUGUGUUUACCUAGGGGUCUAAGAGCCCAGGCUGUGAAAUUACCCCUUCCAGCCUGUCCCCUGCCCUCCCCUGCGUGCCCUUUCUCUGGACAGUCCCCAGGCUAUGACGGCUCCUGUCCCUCCUGUCCGACCGCCCUCCGCUGCAUCACUGCUCCUCCCUCUGCUUUCCACCUUCACGUGUGGGCUGCGAGGCUGCUGCCUCCGUGUAGUUUCUGAAGUUUGUGUUUCUGUUUUUUUUCCUUAUAGUUUUGUGGACAUUUCAGAGAUAAGGGCAAAAGGUCUUCUUCCCCACCAUGUCGAAAUCAAAGUUCUGUUCACUUUUAUAAACAAUAUUAAUUGAAAAAAAUACAUAAAAGCAAUCCAUGUUUAUGGUUAAAAAAAAAAGAUACAGGAGUCUCUGGGGAAGAGUGAAGUCCUCCCCAGGAGGAAGACUGACUGGCCUCUGCCAGUUGACUCCCGACUUUUAAGGCUUCCAGAAAUGUUUGCUGCACAUGCAAGUAUGUGUGUUUUUUUUCUUUUCUUUCUUUUAUUAAACACAGAUGGGAUCAUACUGUGUACAUUGUUUUGUGUCUUUUUCUACAUUAUCUUGCAAAGUCCCCUCUUUCGGAUUAGCUGUAUGAUAGCACUGCAGUCUUAAUUCCUGAAGGACUCGAGGGCUCCUUGCAGGUAAGUGCUGGGUCUGCACAGGCGGUGGGUGCAGGUGGAGCGGCCUGCGUGCUGGGGCAUGCUGGGGACCGCCCUCUGGGCGUGCAUCUCUUACAGACGCUGUGUGAACACUUUCUCCAGUGACAACCUCUUGUUCCACUUGUAGGUAACUCUGUUCCUGUCAAGGUGACUCUGUAUAACCUGGUAGAGGUAAUGGUCUAAAAACUGUCAUGUAGGGAGUUCUGUUCUAGAGGGAAACAUAUACUUUUUUUUUUUGAGGAAGAUUAGCCCUGAGCUAACAUCUGCCGCCAAUCCCCCUCUUUUUUGCUGAGGAAGACUGGCCCUGAGCUAACAUCCGUGCCCAUCUUCCUCUACUUUAUAUGUGGGAUGCCUACCAUAGCAUGGCUUGAUGAGCGGUGUGUAGGUCCACACCUGGGAUCUGAACUGGCAAACCCAGGGCCACUGAAGGGAAACAUGUGAACUUAACCGCUGCGCCACCUGGCUGGCCUGGGAACAUGGACAUUUGCGAUUUUGGAAACCACAUUUUUGAAGCAGGGAAAGAGUGUCAGAAAGGGUAGAUUCUCCUGAAUGCUCUACAAUGGCUCGGGGGUGCGGAGGUCCCUGGUGUAGUUUGGGAGGAAGAUCGCAUUUUUAGGGCAAGGACAGUUACAGCUGGCAGUCAUUUGGCCACUUCAGACUUUUGGUGGCUUCAGGUGGAGUGAAAAUAAGCACAUACAUAUGUUAGGUUUUUUAUUCUCCUGUGCUUUCCAUUAUACUAAAUGUAAGUUUUUUUCUUGAGCGUUUCAGUCAUUGAGUAAGAAAGUAAUAGUGAUUAUUUGCAAAAUUUGUUUAGUGUAAAAAAGUUUGGCUUUGGUCUGGAAGUGGAUUCAGUGUUUAUUUGUACCACUGUUUACAUAGGCACAAAAGCAAAUGUUGUAUGACAAAAUAUCGUAAAAGUUGAGUGCAAGUAGCCUUGUGAAAUUUAACCUUGAUUUCUAAUUUGAGAAAAUAUUCAAAUGUUCCACUUUAAUCAUAUACUAUUGUUUCAUAAUGAAUGUCUGUCGCCACUGCUGUCACACUGACGUUCAGCAGGUACCCCACCUCGUUUCCUGAGGUGCCCUCUGGCAGGAGUUUUAGAGCACAAGCGCGCUGGCACCUGACAGAGGCCUUCUUCAUCUCGCGUGUUUGGAUGUAGACACAUCCCCCUGGGAGGGUCCUCAGUGCUGUUCUCUCGGCAGGGUCGCGAGGCCUUGGAGUGGGUGAUCUGCCGACUUAACAUGGAAUUGGAAGGCCUGGGGGCCCCGGCCUGCGCCAGAGCGUGAAGCCGCGGCGUGCUCCCUGCGCCCAGGACACGGAGACAGAGGCCGAGCAGCAAGUUGAUGGGCGUUCAGCAUCCACCCUGGACACUCGCUGGACGUGUGGUUUGCCGGAAGGGGCAUUCGGGAUCAGUGAGUGCCUAGAGACGUUUAGGAAGGGGACUCCAGAAAGGCAGUGAAUUUGCUCUAUGUUGGCCUAUAGCUUACCUUUACCAUUUUUUCUUUUUUUGGUGGAAAAGUUUUGUUUACUAAACAAGAAGUUAAUUUAAAUCUUUGAUAUCCCUUCCCCAGAAACCAUAGUAUGAGAGUGAAAAGGGGGUAACUUUCUCCCACUCUAUAACGUGCAACAUUCAGAUAGAAGUUUCUUAUGGGUUUUGAUGCCCAGGUUUGCUGUGAUUAUAGACCAUGGAUAUUCCCCUUGGCUUUCUCAGAAAGGACGCUGUUUCAGGGGCUGGAGUGUUUUAACGAUGCAGAGCCUGAGAUUGCCUUUGGGAGCUUGUUAAUACUACGGAUUUCAGGCUUUCAGGCCCAGGGAUUCUGCCAGGUCCAGGCUGUGGCUCAUCGCAUCAGGUGGGAGCUCACCUGGCUGAGGAGCGCCGAGCCUUCCAACCAGUGCUGGGGACUGGCCUCUGCUCCGCUGCCCUGCCAGUGCCGCAGCUUUGAGUUAUAUGGACAUCACAGCCGUUCUGCAUGCACACUUAAUUUAUUUACCAGAUUUUAUUCUCUUUCACUGACCACAGACCUUAGAUUUAAUUUAGGAGAUGGGUUUUUAAUUACAUGUAUAUAGCAAGUCAAAUAAAACAUCCCUAUUUCACUUUAGUCUCUGAACAUGAAAUGGGACACAGUUUUCCUUAUGUUUUAACCAAACCAACCAGUUUAGGUUUUUUAGAGGAGAAAUGAGUAUAAGAAGAAACUGAUUAUUUUGAUAAUGUCAUAUUACUUGCCUAAAAUUUUAUUUUUUGCCAAAAGCACAGAAGUAAGUCUAGAAUUCUGUGCCUCUCUUUAGUUUCCAGUACUGCAUCCCUGUUUUUGUGGCCGUGAGUUUGGUAGGAAUAAAGGUUGAAUGCACUAGUUACUGUGUCAACUCUUCUGAUAAACCAGAAGUUACUGGAAUGGAGGUCAAGAGAAACUAGAGUGUUCCCUUGGAAGCUGGGCUUUCCAGAGCUGUGUGAGCCCACAGGCCCCCGGGCUCCCUGUGUCGGUGCCUGCCCUGUGGUUUGGGAGCUAAUGCCGUACUGUUAGCGAAGGAGCAGCGCGGGAGCUCUCUGGAACCAGAGGCCUCCCCUCUGGUAGGCAAAGUGAUGGCACUAAAUAUUCUUUGAAGACUCUUGCACUCAUUUGGCAUUAGAACCAGCCAUUAUAACUGUAUCUGUCUAAUUCGGCAGUGGCUUUUUGUCUUCUCAAGAGUGUGACUGCCGCCAGCAUUUCUGUCCUCCUGCUAAGGAGGGGGCGGGCGUGCUUUGACAGAGGAGUUAACUGCUGGGUGUCUAUGUUAUGACUUCCAUUUUUUUUCCUGAACAGUCUGCCCUAGCAGAUCUCUAAUUACGGCUGAGCCUCAGUGAAUGCUCAAUAUAUUACGAACCAGUCUUUGUAGGUUCUGUUACAACUUCAGUACCCAAAGAAGAGGUAGGGUUAUUCUGGUGACUUUAGUGCCUGAGGAGAGUGCCCUUUGUGAGCCAGCCAUUGGAUUAUAGGUGCGCAGGAGCAAAUGUGACCAUGGAGCUUUGGUUUUCUCGUCUGUAAAGUGUAGACACUGAUACCUACCUCAAAGGAUCAAACCAGAUGUGAAGAGACUCAGCGCCGGCCUGGUGGCACCCAGUCCACUGUGCAGUUCCUGCUGGUGCUGGCGCGUCGACGGGUUGUCACUGGGCUGCGGAGUCCCUGGGGGGAACACUGGGCUUCAUUGCUGGAACAUACUUUUUUAGUGAGGGUAUUUUUUUUUUUUAACUUUUAUAAUCACUAGUAAGAGUUGACUGCCAACAGUAAAAGAGGCGAGCAGUAAGAAAGGAGUGAGUGCUGACUCAGCACUGGCUUGCAUUUCGGGCCCUCCCUUCUUAUCUGUUCUGUGCUUGUGUUUUCAGCUGUUAUAGGAGAGUUUGCUAAGGGCAGCGGUUGGCAGACAACAGCCUGUGAGCUAAGAAUGUGUUUUGCAUUUUUAAGGGGUUGUAAAUAAAAUCCCCCCCUGCAGCUGAGGAUUCGACAGAGACUGAAUGAGGCCCAUAAAACCUGAAAUAUUUACUAUCUGGUCCUGCAAAGAAGAAGUUUCUGUGAAGCCAACCUGUUCCCUAGAGAUUCCACUGCAUCUCUCAAUCAACAUAAAUCAAAGUAAAUUUGGUCCCUUCCACCAAACUGCUCCUCUUUCCGCCAUUUCUAAUUAGUGCUACUUCUAUUUCCCAAAUACAAAACCCAAGUUCUUUAAGACUUCCUCCUGCUCUUUCUCUCCAUAGCCAUUUGGAAACCGAAUACUCCUUUAAAAGGUCUCAGAUCAAUUCUGUCUUCUCACAUUCACUGUCCCAGUCUUGUUUUAGGUGCUUAUCACCUGGGGUAGCCAGCUUCCAAGACAGCCCCCGAGGAGGCUGCCCCAUGUCGUGACCAUCCCUGCGUGUAGUAUUCUCCACCCUGAGCAGGCUGACCUGUAGGGUCAGUGGAAUACUGCGGAAUAUUCCACGAUGGUGUGUGACUUCCCAGGUCAAGUCAUAAAAGACAUUGCGGCUUGCACCUUGCUCGCUCCUGCAUCACUUGCUCUGGGGCAAGCCAGCUGCCGUGUAGUGAGGACACUAGAGGAGCCCGACAGAGAGGUCCACACAGCAAAGCUGAGUGAGGGAGCCAUUUGGGAGCAGAUCCUCUAGCCCCAGUGAAGCCUUCAGCUAACGGCAACUUCAGCUAACAUCUUGACUGCAACCUCGUGAGAGACCCCAGGCCAGAGCUACCCACCUAAAG